AACGAACGCUGGCGGCAUGCCUAACACAUGCAAGUCGAACGAGACCUUCGGGUCUAGUGGCGCACGGGUGCGUAACGCGUGGGAACCUGCCCUUAGGUUCGGAAUAACUCCCCGAAAGGGGUGCUAAUACCGGAUAAUGUCUUCGGACCAAAGAUUUAUCGCCUUUGGAUGGGCCCGCGUUGGAUUAGCUAGUUGGUAGGGUAAAAGCCUACCAAGGCGACGAUCCAUAGCUGGUCUGAGAGGAUGAUCAGCCACACUGGGACUGAGACACGGCCCAGACUCCUACGGGAGGCAGCAGUGGGGAAUAUUGGACAAUGGGCGAAAGCCUGAUCCAGCAAUGCCGCGUGAGGGAAGAAGGCCUUCGGGUUGUAAACCGCUUUUGUACGGAACGAAAAGGCUCUGGCUAAUACCUGGGGCUGAUGACGGUACCGUAAGAAUAAGCACCGGCUAACUACGUG
rnacentral:rRNA from 1 species